GGGCUCAUAGUUUAAUGGACAGAAUGACAGGUUUCGGCCCUGUAGAUGGGGGUUCGAUUCCUCCUGAGCCCA
rnacentral:tRNA from 1 species